UCAAGUAGUCAAGUUUACGUUCCUUCUCUAAUUCAAUGCCGAAUUUCUACAGUUAGGGCAAUUGGAAUUUUAAUUGGUUGUGGUGGGGUCCGACGGCGGCGACGGCAGGAUGAAGAGAAGGAGUGUGAGAAGGAGGUCAAGGAUAGAAGAGAUUGUGAGGAAGAGCAUAUAGUUGUUGUUGUUGGUGGUUUUGGACGAGGUGCAUGAGUUCUUCCCCUAAAAUCAUGGCGUCAUGGUACAGAAGAUCAAGAGUACGCUGUGGUGGUGAAGCCUUGAAGUUUCUGAAGCAUCUCCAUAUUAGGUCCUCAAAGAAAGGGAUUUACGAAGGUGAGAUCUUAUUCAAUUGAUUGUUAAAAUUAAGGUGAGGCAAUGGAGAAAUUCUUUGUCAAGUAGUGUCAUCUAAGGUACAAUUGCUAUUUCACUGAUAUUUUUUUAUGGUUGAAAUGUUUUGAUCGCUUUAUAUUGUUCUGGUUGAGUGUAGAUAUGAAAAAUUCAAUUAUGCAAUUGAAAUAGUUCAAAUUAAGAAACAAAUAUUUGAUUUUUUUUUAAUACAUUUGUAUUUUAGCUAUUGUAUGUUAGAUUAGUAUCAUAUGAUUUUAUCUCUAUUUAUGUAUAAUUAUAGAUUGUGAACUAUCAAUUGGAUUACUUGGUUGAAGAGUUGUUGUGCAUCAGUGCAUUGAAUUGGCACUCUGUAUUAGAAUGUUGGCCGAAGAUGAUGCAAGAAAUCGUGUGAAGAAAGUUUCAGACUUUCAGCUAUUCACAAUCUCUGUCAUAAGGUAUAUAAAGAGGAGUGGGUGUGGAAGCUGCCUGCAUCAUCUUUUCUUAAUCUUAUAUAAUUUGAUUGGUUAGUCAUAAUUCUGAAGAUUUUAACAUGAACCUGACAUGGUAGAUGGUGCUAAGUCACAUACGAAAGUCAUGUAAGGAGUCAUAAUUCUCUGCUGGGUUGACUUAAUUUAUAUGUGAUUCGAUUUAGAACUAAUUAUUGUUUGUAAUUGAUUACAGAAGAAGGCUCCUUAUUACAUCCAGAAAGCAGAGAAGAGGAAGGCUGAUUAUGAAAAGAGCAUGAACACCUAUAACAAGAAAUUGGUUUUAGGGAAUAUUUAUGUAGUUUCUACCUUGCCAAACUCUUGUUAUAAUGUAUUAUCGGUUGGACUUUCAUUACAAUGAACUACAAGUUGGGUUUAAAUGACAAUGAAGCCUCUGCUCUUCUUUUGUUUGCCUUCUUAAUUAGUGUAGAGUGAAAGCAGUUAGCAGCUUUUGUGAAGGUUAUACCAAUCCCAACGUAUCCUACUGUGAUUAUCCAACUACAAGGAGUGACAAUGGGAGAUAUAUCCUAACUGGUUUAGAAACUUACUUAUAAUAUUCAUUUUAAAAUUGUUUUUAAUUUUUAUUUUUAUUUACUGGGAAACUUUGCGCAUUUUAAGUUAUAUUUUACUUGGUUGUCAGUAUGAUAAGAAUUAAUAAUUUCAACAGGCAGAAAGUUGAAUUUACAAGAUAUAAGUAUUCUACUUCAAUAUAUGUUGAAGUGCAUAUUGUAUGAUGAUAACGUUAAAGUGACUUGAAUUUGAUUAUUUGCCUACAGAUUCAAGCUAGUGGUUUUGAAGGACCAAUACUAUUUAGUAUAUCAACAAACUAUGGAGUGGUGACAUGUUUCUUAUGGUGAAUCAAUUGUUCAGUCAAAUUUUAAAGUUUAUUGGGAACAUCAUAGUAUUUCACUUGUUUGUUUGUAUGACUCCUAUGAGAGACAUGUUUGUAAUUUAUUUACAAGAUUAAGUAUAUAUAUCAUUUUCUAUAUUAUUAUUA